rnacentral:rRNA from 1 species
AUUGAACGCUGGCGGCAUGCCUUACACAUGCAAGUCGAACGGCAGCGCGGACUUCGGUCUGGCGGCGAGUGGCGAACGGGUGAGUAAUGCAUCGGAACGUACCUUUCAGUGGGGGAUAACGUAGCGAAAGUUACGCUAAUACCGCAUAUUCUGUGAGCAGGAAAGCAGGGGAUCGCAAGACCUUGCGCUGAUGGAGCGGCCGAUGUCAGAUUAGCUAGUUGGUGGGGUAAAGGCUCACCAAGGCGACGAUCUGUAGCGGGUCUUAGAGGAUGAUCCGCCACACUGGAACUGAGACACGGUCCAGACUCCUACGGGAGGCAGCAGUGGGGAAUUUUGGACAAUGGGCGCAAGCCUGAUCCAGCCAUGCCGCGUGAGUGAAGAAGGCCUUCGGGUUGUAAAGCUCUUUCGGCCGGGAAGAAAUCGCAUGGGUUAAUACCCUGUGUGGAUGACGGUACCGGAAUAAGAAGCACCGGCUAACUACGUGCCAGCCGCCGCCGUAACAC